GAUAUAAACCUUUUUGUAUAAUUUUUUUAUAUAUAUAAAAUAUCAAACCAACAGAAGUUCUUACAAACUGAAAUUAUAUUACAGAUUUCCAGUUAAAUGUCCUCAUGAAACUAGAUAAAAUAAUUGCAAAACAGGAAGAGCAUUCUCUCUUGCUUCGGCGGCUAAUGCAGACAAGAGAGGAAGACACAGGGCCAGAGAACCCUAUCCCAUCUAUUGGUCAGUUACCUGACUUCCUCAGAAGUUUGGUCACAGUUUAGCCUCAAAGGAAGGAAGGGGAAGAGGAGACUUGAAGAACUCUCUGUUUAUCGAGUUCUAAUAAGGGCAAUAAUGAAAUCACAACCUGGGUCUACUAGCAUGGAUGCUGAAAGCCAGAUUGCAGAGACCCUUAAACAUGCACCAGGUCUGGUUAGGAGAAAGGCUAAUCGAUCAGUUACCCCACAUUUACAAGAUGGUUCAUUGGACUUCUUCUCAUAAUUUUAAUUUUACCUGCCUGCUGCACAUCAUUCUCUGUCCCCGGAUUGUCUGCCUGGUUUUGACUUGUGCCUGCCGACUGGUUUCUGCGCUUGCCUUUUCCUCUGGAUUUGUUUAUCUUUAUUGGACUGUUGGUGUCUACCGAGUCCGACCUUCCCGUCUGCGCUCCCCUGUCCGCCGUGUUCUCCAGUCCCGAGUCCACCUCAUCAGCCGGUGACCUGCUGACAUGUCUCAGCUGCUUUUCUUUUGUUCAGCAAACGUUCUCAAAUGCCUUUUUUUAAGCUUUUUUAUUUGUAGUCUAUUAUAUUUGAGCUAAAUAUAAUUAAUAUAACGUAGGCCUACUU
rnacentral:lncRNA from 1 species